AACUAACAGGAAAUGUCUCAUCUUUCCAAGUUUAUUGUUGAGAGUGGCCAGAUGUCAUUUGUUUGUGAGUGGGAAAUGGGAAGUUAGAUCACAGAACGUGAAAUUUAAAACUCCGUGUUUUUUUUAAGAAAAGGGAGUGGAGAGGAGAAACACACCCAGGGAAGCCACUUUGCCUCCUGUGACUUGUGUUAACAGUGUGGUGGAGCAGUGCUCAUGAGCAAGACGCGAACAUGAGAACAUCGUUUUACUGUCUGCAGGCAGAGCUCUCCUCCAGGUCUGUGUGCACACAGCUGGUCUCCGCUUGGCUGGGCCAGGGUGUUUGGGAGCUCUCUGUGGAUCUGCUCUAAUUAUAAACACCAUGGAGGGCCAGGAGAUGGAGGACAACGUUCUCAUUGGUCAUCAUGCCCCAGGAUAAAGAAGGAGAAAGGAACUUAUAAGGAGUCCUUUGGUAUUUAGCGCUUACAAAACAAUUAUAUUGAUUUUUUUUUAAUUGUAUUUCCAGCCUCUGUGGUUUAGACUCUGGGUCAAACACUUCCAGACUGUUCGGGCUGGCUGGCUCAGAUCAGGCCUCUUCAGCUUUAACUGCUCACUGACUGCCCCGGAAAUACCCUCUUGGUCCCUCACUGUUGCUGCGGUGGGCUUUGGCAGGCUCCCUCUCAGCCAGGUGUUUUCCCCAGCAGUUGCCAUGGCAGCAACGUACAACAGAGGUUCUGAGGGGCUUGGAAUUGACAGGCCGGAGGUGGGGCCUGAGUUGCUGUCUCCAGCCCACGAUUUGCUGACCCAUCUGUCUUCCUCAGAGAGAGAGCACACGCGAGCGAAACCCUGUGAUGAGUGACGGCAAGGUGUGGGCACUUCCUCCGCCCCCUGCUUUCCCUGCUCCCCAGCUCUGAGUCCCCACCGUUGCUAGUUGGAUUACUACUUUUACCUCAUCAAGGUGAUGACAGUUGCAUUCAAAACAGGCAAGUUGUGGUGGGUGAGGUGAAAGGACAACAAGGGGACCCAGGAGGCCCGAGGUUGAAGCUGAUGGCUUCACAGCACUGGGGCCGCAUACGUGGAGCCUUCGUCAUCAGAGCCAAGUAACAGUACUGAUGAGGACAGGCAACUUUUUCAAGAGCUUACUAGGGGCCAAGCAUUAUGCUAACCAACUACCUUCCAUGUAUUAAGUUCCUCCAUCC
rnacentral:lncRNA from 1 species